rnacentral:rRNA from 1 species
AGAGUUUGAUCAUGGCUCAGGAUGAACGCUAGCGGCAGGCUUAAUACAUGCAAGUCGAGGGGCAGCACAGUGUAGCAAUACAUGGGUGGCGACCGGCAAACGGGUGCGGAACACGUACGCAACUUUCCCGGAACUGGGGGAUAGCCCUCCGAAAGGAGGAUUAAUACCCCGUAAUAUAAUUGGAUGGCAUCAUUUGAUUAUUAUAGCUCAGGCGGUUCUGGAUGGGCGUGCGGCUGAUUAGGUAGUUGGCGGGGUAACGGCCCACCAAGCCAGCGAUCAGUAACUGGUGUGAGAGCNNGACCAGUCACACGGGCACUGAGACACGGGCCCGACUCCUACGGGAGGCAGCAGUAAGGAAUAUUGGGCAAUGGACGCAAGUCUGACCCAGCCAUGCCGCGUGGAGGAUGAAGGCCCUCUGGGUUGUAAACUUCUUUUAUUUGGGAAGAACUGUAGGUUUUCUAACUUACUUGACGGUACCAGAUGAAUAAGCACCGGCUAACUCCGUGCCAGCAGCCGCGGUAAUACGGAGGGUGCAAGCGUUAUCCGGAUUCACUGGGUUUAAAGGGUGCGUAGGCGGGCAGUUAAGUCAGUGGUGAAAUCUCCGGGCUCAACCCGGAAACUGCCGUUGAUACUAUCUGUCUUGAAUAACGUUGAGGUGAGCGGAAUAUGUCAUGUAGCGGUGAAAUGCUUAGAUAUGACAUAGAACACCGAUUGCGAAGGCAGCUCACUAAACGCUCAUUGACGCUGAGGCACGAAAGCGUGGGGAUCAAACAGGAUUAGAUACCCUAGUAGUCC